AUUACAGAAAAUUUGACCCGUGAUCGCACGCCAUACAGUUCAUUGCAUGUGCACCAAUCAAUGAUUUUGCUCUCGGUAAAUGCAUAUCAAGGUCUUCUGCGCGUAGGUAAAAAUGUUUGUGCACGCACGCCAUUUUCGCAAUGUUGUCCUUGGACAGUUUUCAGUAAUUUGGUCAUAGCUUUCUUUUUCAAACUCCGAUUGAGGUGAUUUAAAAUGCGUUGAAAAGAUAACUCAAAAAAAUACAAUUUUUCCAGGAAUACAUAUUUUUCAAUUCAAAUGUUUGCUAUCCAAAAAUAGGUCUCAAAUUGAGGCUAAAAAUUUGAAGCAUAACUUUUUUGGUUGGAAAUUGAUUUGUGGAAUGCUUCAACUUUAUUUCAUUCCUUUGACCUCUAAUUGUAUCCAAUUUAUGUCAUAUGAUCUUCAAUAAUCAUUUUGUGGUUCGAAUAAACUAUUGGAUGUUUACACUUUGAUCCCCAAACUUUGGAAUUCUUUCGUUUUCGUUAGGAGUGAGUAUUUUUUCCCAGAACUGGUGGAAUCGGGCCGGAACCGUUUGGAACCGGAUCUUUUGAAAAAUAAUUUGAUUUCGAGACAAAUUAUUAAAGCCAAUUGAUUCCGGUUUCGGUCUGGUUCCCGAUUCUAGUAUGGGAAUCGCCGGAAACCAGGCGGUUCUAAUAGGAUUUUUUUGGUAUUUAUAUGACUCAAUCUCCAACAUUUUUAUCAAAAAAGAAAUUGGGUUCCUUCUUAAUUUUAGAUUCUAGCACUUUCAUUAUUCUCUUUGAUUUUUUCCUUUUCUCUCCUUAUAAUUCUUUGAUUAAUUAAUUCUCAAGUCAAAUUAGAAUAUUGGAUAAAUC
rnacentral:lncRNA from 1 species